UACAGAGGGUGCGAGCGUUAAUCGGAAUUACUGGGCGUAAAGGGCGCGUAGGCGGCCUGCUAAGUCGAACGUGAAAUCCCCGGGCUCAACCCGGGAACUGCGUCCGAUACUGGUGGGCUUGAAUCCGGGAGAGGGAUGUGGAAUUCCAGGUGUAGCGGUGAAAUGCGUAGAUAUCUGGAGGAACACCGGUGGCGAAGGCGGCAUCCUGGACCGGUAUUGACGCUGAGGCGCGAAAGCUAGGGGAGCAAACAGG
rnacentral:rRNA from 1 species